GAUGAACGCUGGCGGCGUGCCUAAUACAUGCAAGUAGAACGCUGAAGGAAGGAGCUUGCUCUUUCCGGAUGAGUUGCGAACGGGUGAGUAACGCGUAGGUAACCUGCCUGGUAGCGGGGGAUAACUAUUGGAAACGAUAGCUAAUACCGCAUAACAGUAGAUGUUGCAUGAUAUCUACUUAAAAGGUGCAAUUGCACCACUACCAGAUGGACCUGCGUUGUAUUAGCUAGUUGGUGAGGUAACGGCUCACCAAGGCGACGAUACAUAGCCGACCUGAGAGGGGGAUCGGCCACAAUGGGACUGAGACACGGCCCAGACUCCUACGGGAGGCAGCAGUAGGGAAUCUUCGGCAAUGGACGGAAGUCUGACCGAGCAACGCCGCGGGAGGGAAGAAGGGUUUCGGAUCGUAAAGCUCUGUUGUAAGAGAAGAACGAGUGUGAGAGUGGAAAGUUCACACUGUGACGGUAUCUUACCAGAAAGGGACGGCUAACUACGUG
rnacentral:rRNA from 1 species